ensembl:lncRNA
GUGUCACCUGGUAGAAGGUGCCACCACAUCUCUCCUAUCCAGAAGGAGUUGGAGCCACGUGGGCUCCAGACAUAAAUGGUACUACUGAGGCUGCAGCUCCCCUUCUCCUCCCCUGCUGCUGCCUUGCAAUUUCUGGCCAGAGACUCUCGCUGUGCAAAUGUGCCAAAACUCCUCGAUAAGGGAGCAAGAGCUAUGCAGCCUGCAUGAGUCAGCCUCCCCAACACACAGAGGUGGAACUGGGAGGAAAGGGUCCGAGUCAGACUGACCCAGGACUAGCACAGAACUCCAGGAAUUACAGCAGAUAUCCACCAUUUGACUUCCUGUAAGUCUCAUAAGGUUGCCACUCAAAAGACGUCACUUGCUCUCCAGUGAAAGAGCUGUACACACCACCUGAGCAAGGCCAGCGAGACCAACUCUCCCAAGAAGAUGAACUAUCCAUGAACCCAGAUGGUCCUUUGUGACUUUCUCGACUAACAGAGCACAGGAGAAGUGACAUGAUAUGACUUCUGAGGCUAGCUUAUACAAAUGUCAUGGAUUUCUACCUCGUGCUUUGAGGAUACUCGCCUUGCAACCCAGUCACCGUGCUGUAAAGAAGCCCAAACAGCUACUUGGAGAGACAUCGGGUACCACAGAGCCUCACCCAAGAUCUCAGCUGACAGCCAGCAUCAACCGCCAGACAUAUGAGUGCACAAGCUUUCAAAUGAUUCCAGCCUCCACCCGUCAAGUCACCCUCAGGCUUUGAGCCCUUUCCAGCUGAGGUUCCAGACAUCCUGGAACAGAGACAAGGCAUCCCCACUGAGCCCUUCCCGAUUUCUGAUACACAGAAUCCAUAAACACAAUAAGAUGGUUGUUAUUUAUACCGCUGUGUUUAGGCUGGUUUGUUACUCAACAGUAGUAACUGGAAUGGGUCAUCACUGGAGAAGAGAAUGAGGAAUGAGACCUGGAGGAGUCCUAAUAUAUUAAGAUUUGCCAAGGUGUUGCUGUGAAGGAAACAAAGUGAUCAAAUAAAGAAUGACUGAGGGGAGGGGUGGAAAGUGACCUGUGUUAGAAAUCACAACAGAAAACGCCUCUAGGAUGAGGUGGCAUUAAAGCUGAAACAAGAGGAUGAGAAGAAGCAAACCAGAAAAAGAGGAAGAAUAACAACAAUGCAAGAAGCAACUCCCUACCCAAAAGCCCACAGUGGGAAACCUUAUAGCAUACCUGGCUGAACGGUUGAAUACCAGUGUGGAGGAGGUAGACAUAACAUACAGCUGGGCAGAUCUUGAUAGGGACCAGAAUCCACAAGCCUAAGAGAUUUGAUUUUAUUUUAGAUGCAAGUGAAAGCUCUUAAAUGGUUUUGAAAAGAUAGCUGAAAUGAUCAGAUUCAUGUGGGAUACCAGGCUGUUUGAGUAGAACAAGGGAGAAAGAACAGUGGCGUACACUAAGAUGGCAAUGAGUAUGGAGAAAUAUAUAUAAAAUAUAUAUGUGUAUGUACAUACGUCUAUAUACACGCACACUUUGAGACAGAUUCCAGAAAACGUAAUGAUACAGUCUGGGCAGAAAGUGAGGAAAAGUAGGGAAUCAAGGAUCAUUCCUAGGUUUUGUUUUAAGUUAGCAUGUGAACAGUUAGAAUGGAACAGUUUGGAAGGUGGAAUAAUUGAAGUUUUCAUUUAGACAUCUUAAUUGUGGAGACGUCAACCAGUGUUUCUCAAACUUCCCCAAUGAACAGAAUCAUCUGGGGAGCUUAUUACAUAUAUGGAUUAUCAGGUUUUCUGCUGGAAAUUCUGGAUCGGUAGGUCCGAGUUGAGCACAAAGUACUGGAUUUUCUUCACUCUCGGUGGGUAAUAUGCAGCUACCAAAAGAAAGAGAAUGAGGAAGAUCUCUAUCAACUGAUAUAGAGCAAUUUCCAAGAUAUGUUAAAGGCAAAAUUCAAAAGAGUAUCUGUGGUAUGCUAUUUUUCAUGUAGGAAGAAGGGACUAUAAGAAAAUACACACGUAUCUGUGCAAAAAAGAAAUGCAGGAAGGAUAAACCAGAAACCAGUGCAACUGAUUAUCUACAGGAAGCAGAUGGGAACUGGGAGGAAAGGAAGGAAGGACGGGAAUGGCGUAGAAGGGACGAGAAAGAGAUGAUACCUAAGUAUACCUUUCUGUAUACUUUUGAUUAAAACUGAACAGUUUUCACAUACCCAAGUAAAUAAUUAAAAUCAAGAAGCAU